rnacentral:rRNA from 1 species
UACGAAGGGGGCUAGCGUUGUUCGGAUUUACUGGGCGUAAAGCGCACGUAGGCGGCCUGUUAAGUCAGGGGUGAAAUCCUGGAGCUCAACUCCAGAACUGCCCUUGAUACUGGCAGGCUCGAGUAUGGAAGAGGUUGGUGGAACUGCGAGUGUAGAGGUGAAAUUCGUAGAUAUUCGCAAGAACACCGGUGGCGAAGGCGGCCAACUGGUCCAUUACUGACGCUGAGGUGCGAAAGCGUGGGGAGCAAACAGG